rnacentral:rRNA from 1 species
UACGGAGGAUCCAAGCGUUAUCCGGAUUUAUUGGGUUUAAAAGGGUGCGUAGGUGGUUUAUUAAGUCAGGGGGUGAAAGACGGCAGCUUAACUGUCGCAGUGCCUUUGAUACUGAUGAACUUGAAUAAACUAGAGGUAGGCGGAAUGUGACAAGUAGCGGUGAAAUGCAUAGAUAUGUCACAGAACACCAAUUGCGAAGGCAGCUUACUAUGGUUUGAUUGACACUGAGGCACGAAAAGCGUGGGGGAUCAAACAGG